rnacentral:rRNA from 1 species
AAUGAACGCUGGCGGCGCGCCUAAUACAUGCAAGUCGAGCGAGAAGACGUAGCAAUACGUUUGUAAAGCGGCGAACGGGUGAGGAAUACAUGGGUAACCUACCCUCGAGUGGGGAAUAACUAGCCGAAAGGUUAGCUAAUACCGCGUACGCUUCUUGGACUUCGGUUCAGGGAGGAAAGCGAUGCCGAGGGUAUCGCGCUCUUGGAUGGGCUCAUGUCCUAUCAGCUUGUUGGNGAGGUAACGGCUCACCAAGGCUUCGACGGGUAGCUGGUCUGAGAGGACGAUCAGCCACACUGGCACUGCGACACGGGCCAGACUCCUACGGGAGGCAGCAGUAAGGAAUAUUGCGCAAUGGGCG